rnacentral:rRNA from 1 species
CCGACGGGAGGCGGCAGGGAGGAAUAAUGGUCAAUGGAGGAAAGAGUGAACCAGCCACGUAGCGUGCAGGAUGACGGCCCUCCGGGUUGUAAACUGCUUUUAGUUGGGCAUAAAAGGGGGCUCGUGAGCCCCGUAUUGUAUGUACCAUCAGCACAAGGACCGGCUAAUUCCGUGCCAGCAGCCGCGGUAAUACGGAGGGUCCGGGCGUUAUCCGGAUUUCUUGGGUUUAAAGGGAGCGUAGGCCGGCUUUGAAGUCAGCUGUGAAAGUCCGCGGCUCAACCGUGGAAUUGCAGGUGAAACUGGAGGACUUGAGUGCACACAGGGAUGCCGGAAUUCAUGGUGUAGCGGUGAAAUGCUUAGAUAUCAUGAAGAACUCCGAUCGCGAAGGCAAGUGUCCGGGGUGCAACUGACGCUGAGGCUCGAAAGUGCGGGUAUCAAACAGGAUUAGAUACCCUUGUAGUC